rnacentral:snRNA from 1 species
ACAUGUGAGGGUGAUCUGGCUGUGACAUCUGUCACCCCCUUGAUUACCAGGGUUGAUUCGGUUGAUCUGGCUGGCUAGGUGGGUGUCCCUUUCCCCACUUACUGCUCCAUGUGUGUCCCUCCUGAAUCUGUGCGCUUGGUUGAAGAGGAUGACCAUCCGGAUAGAGGAGAACCAGUCUUUGGUCAAGGGUAUACAAGUAGCUGUGCUCGCUUGCUAGAACCUCCAAACAAGCUCUCAAGGUCCAAACAUCCAGCAGAUAAUUAGCAAUGGAUUAGAAAAG